AGUGAACGCUGGCGGUAGGCCUAACACAUGCAAGUCGAACGGCAGCACAGUAAGAGCUUGCUCUUACGGGUGGCGAGUGGCGGACGAGUGAGGAAUACAUCGGAAUCUACUUUUUCGUGGGGGAUAACGUAGGGAAACUUACGCUAAUACCGCAUACGACCUACGGGUGAAAGCAGGGGAUCUUCGGACCUUGCGCGAUUGAAUGAGCCGAUGUCGGAUUAGCUAGUUGGCGGGGUAAAGGCCCACCAAGGCGACGAUCCGUAGCUGGUCUGAGAGGAUGAUCAGCCACACGGGAACUGAGACACGGUCCAGACUCCUACGGAGGCAGCAGUGGGGAAUAUUGGACAAUGGGCGCAAGCCUGAUCCAGCCAUACCGCGUGGGUGAAGAAGGCCUUCGGGUUGUAAAGCCCUUUUGUUGGGAAAGAAAAGCAGCAGGUUAAUACCCCGCUGUUCUGACGGUACCCAAAGAAUAAGCACCGGCUAACUUCGUG
rnacentral:rRNA from 1 species